rnacentral:tRNA from 1 species
GCUGACGUAGCUCAGUGGUAGAGCAGCGCACUCGUAAUGCGCAGGCCGAGGGUUCGAAUCCCUCCGUCAGCUCCA